UCUUUAAGGUCAGGGCGGAGUGGCAUC
rnacentral:piRNA from 1 species